AGAGUUUGAUCCUGGCUCAGGACGAACGCUGGCGGCGUGCCUAAUACAUGCAAGUCGAGCGCAUGAAACAAAACAGAAGCCUUCGGGUGGAAGAUUUGUGGAUUGAGCGGCGGACGGGUGAGUAACACGUGGGCAACCUACCUAUAAGACUGGGAUAACUCGUGGAAACAGGAGCUAAUACCGGAUGUAUCGUUUGAACGCAUGUUCAAACAAAUAAAGGCGGCUUUACGGCUGUCACUUAUAGAUGGGCCCGCGGCGCAUUAGCUAGUUGGUGGGGUAAUGGCUCACCAAGGCGACGAUGCGUAGCCGACCUGAGAGGGUGAUCGGCCACACUGGGACUGAGACACGGCCCAGACUCCUACGGGAGGCAGCAGUAGGGAAUCUUCCGCAAUGGACGAAAGUCUGACGGAGCAACGCCGCGUGAACGAUGAAGGUUUUCGGAUCGUAAAGUUCUGUUGUUAGGGAAGAACACGUACCGUUCAAAUAGGGCGGUACCUUGACGGUACCUAACGAGAAAGCCCCGGCUAACUACGUGCCAGCAGCCGCGGUAAUACGUAGGGGGCAAGCGUUGUCCGGAAUUAUUGGGCGUAAAGCGCGCGCAGGCGGUCUUUUAAGUCUGAUGUGAAAUCUUGCGGCUCAACCGCAAGCGGUCAUUGGAAACUGGAAGACUUGAGUGCAGAAGAGGAGAGUGGAAUUCCAUGUGUAGCGGUGAAAUGCGUAGAUAUAUGGAGGAACACCAGUGGCGAAAGCGACUCUCUGGUCUGUAACUGACGCUGAGGCGCGAA
rnacentral:rRNA from 1 species